rnacentral:rRNA from 1 species
GACGAACGCUGGCGGCGUGCUUAACACAUGCAAGUCGAGCGGAGCGGCGAACGGGUGAGUAACGCGAGAGUAACUGCCCCCCUCUCUGGGAUAACAGUUGGAAACGGCUGCUAAUACCGGAUAGUGGGGGAUGACUCGCGUCCUAUCAGCUUGUUGGUGGGGUAGUGGCCUACCAAGGCGACGACGGGUAGCCGGCCUGCUAGGGGGAACGGCCACAUGAGUCUGCGAGACGGCGCAAAGGCCUACGGUGGGCAGCGGUGGGGAAUAUUGCGCAAUGGGGGAAACCCUGAUGCAACAACGCCGCGGGCGGGAUGACGGCCUUCGGGUUAUAAACCGCUUUCGGCCAUGACGCGGUAGUGGCAGAAGAAGCACCGGCUAACUACGUGCCAGCCGCCGCGGUAAUUC